AUAUCCUAAACCAUUAGGGUUUGUUUGGGACGAUGUCACUGCUGCUUUACUUUAUAAAAAGUUAUUGGAUAAUUGUUUGGGGCAUUGCGGCAGAACUUGGCUAGAAAAAAUUUGCGGCUCAUAUCUGCUUCCUGCGACCUUUCACUAUCUCCUGCAGUCGACUGCGUUCCGCAGUUUCGAUGGGCAAAAAUGACGUAAAUCCCCACUUGAAAAUAUUCGCCACCUUCGUCCCAUCCGUCGAUGCCUUUCGCACAAGUAGUCUCUUCUCCUGCUCUCCACCACCUCCUUCGGCAACUUUCUCCCUUGAAAGCUUAAUCUCUUUUGACGAGUCCCACACCCCCUCUUCCUCCUUCGAUGACUCUAACUCCUCCAUCCAUUAACCUAGGGUUUGCCCAUAUUAAUUCGCCGCCGCCACCGCCGAUGACAACAACGCAGAAGAUAUCGCCCGGAGAUGGAGAUGUCCGGCUGGUGGCAAAGCUUUGUGCCGUUUAAAGUGAGUGAAAUUGAUAGGAGCACGAAAAUGGUUUUUGGAACAAGCCUUUUUGUGGGAGGAGAGGAACAGGAAGGGAAAAGGUUCGAGCUUUGAAGAGCAAAAUGGAGGAUGAGGCGAUUGGGGUGAAAUAUCGCUGUUGCUUAUAGGUAAAAAGAAGCAUGCUCUGCUCGAGUAGUAUUUCAGCAUGUUUCCUAUAGUUUUUAUAAUAAAUAUUAAAACUCAUGUAGACCAUUUGAGUGCAAAAUGUAAUGAAUAUUUUUUGACAUGAAGCAUAUGCAAACUAGAGCAAAUAUUAGAACAGUGAAAACAAGAUGCAAUUAUUUAGCUUUUGAGCUAAGCUAGAAGAGAAUUGAUCUGUAACUCAAUACUUGCAGGUGUUGGGAGACAUUUAUGGUGAUAUCGGUGGCUUACUCUUCAUGGGUUUACCCCUUUGAGGUUGCCUUUAUGAAAGCAGUUGCAAAAGGUGGUCUUUGCAUUGCUGAUACCAUCGUGGAUCUCUUCUUCGCAAUCAACAUAGACAUUCUUUGUGAUUAUUACAUGACUCGAGAACUUAGAUGCUUAUUCGUGAUCCUAAAAAAAUUGCUAUCAGCUGAUGCAGAGACCACCCUUGAGGAGCUUGAUACAAACAGAAUUUAUAUCAUGGGUGAGCUUGUUGAUCGGAACAGAUGGAAAGGCAUUACGAUGAAGAAAGGAAAUGAACAAGGGAUCCAAUCAGCAAAGCUGCCAAUUGGAAACUAUAUCAAGUUAGCAAGCUCGCAGGUCUUUUUUCAUCAACUGAAAGUUGAACCACUUUAAACUUCAGAAUGAAGAGAAGCUCUUCCAAUGCUAUUAUCCAAUCUAUGGUUCUUGAAGAACUUGCCAAGGGAGUUGACUGAAACAGCACACACAGUUUACUACAAGAGGGCUAGUAAGCCGCCGUUCGCAAGAGGAGCUGCUGUCUCAAUUGCCUUUAUUUCUUCCUGCUAUCUUUGACGCAUUUGGAAGUCAAAGCAUGGAUGUUAGAAAGAUAUCUACAUCUUGCUUGGCAAAUCAUUCUUACCAUACUUGGAGGGACUAAGCAGUACACAACUCCGCUUAUUUACUAUAUAUGCCAACCGUAUUUCUCAAGCGAGGUCCAUUGCUACAGGUGAAGCUAAACAUGGCUGAAAGUAUCUACUCUUUCAUCAUCUUCUUCUUCUUCCUCUUAUUUGUUUGUACCGUUAUAUGAGGCUGUUGAUUCAUUGUUGUUCAUUUGUAUGGUUCAAUGGGCUUUUCUGGACGAGGAAGCUGUUUUCUUUUGUUCAAGGGUGUUUGUAUAUGAUUUGUGUGGCCGCCGUAAAAGUUGCAAGUGUGAGCGAAUGAAAUCCUUGCAUAUUAGUAGCAAUAUGUAAUGCUAGAUAAACCUCUUCCAAGUUUGUUUUUGUUUUUAUAGUAUAUUGGUAAUGCAGAGUUUUAUUCUCAAAA